ACUACUUGACUUCAUUGUUUUAUUCAUGCAAUUGUUCAGAGAAUUUCUUCCUUUGCUAUUUGAACGUGUCUUUGAGCAGCAUCUUACUGGCAACUAUUAACAAUUAUAGUUAGCACUGGAGCAUCAGGAAAAUCUUUCCAUGAGUUCCAGGAGUGAAAUUCUGGCUUUAGUGGUGAAACUUCCAUUGACUUUAAUGGGACCAGGAUUGCUGACCAGAGCCUGGAGGAGUAUCUAAAAGAAAACCCCCACAUAUUGGCAAAGAAGUGUGGAAUCUAACUGACACCAUUCCAAAGGAAGCCUCCGGUUUGGACUACCUAUGCCAUCUUCUGGUGCCAGCAAAACUAAUGGUAGCAGUCAAUAAGCAGGACAAGAAGGACCUCUUCUGGAACCACUCGAACCAUCAUGUGAUCAUCAGCAUCUUGGGAAGGUAUCACAGGUUAGAGGAAAGGAAGAAUGAAGAAUCGGG